CUUUGUAAGCAAAUUGUGUUUUUAUCGUGAUCAAAUCAAAGUUCACGGGUACCUAGGUUUACAACUUACAACCACAGAAAAUUUUACUGAAUCCAGCUUGAAGAAUAUUUCUUUAGUAAAAAUGCAGUGAAAGUACAUUUUCCAGACGCAACUGAUCUGGACAUUACGCGAUGUAUUGGUAUUUCACUAGCGACAGCCGGAGACCGGGAUGGGGGAAGAAUAUUUAGAG